GAUGAACGCUAGCUACAGGCUUAACACAUGCAAGUCGCGGGGCAGCAUGGGGGUUGCUUGCACUCCCUGAUGGCGACCGGCGCACGGGUGAGUAACGCGUAUCCAACCUGCCCUUCACCACGGGAUAACCCGGCGAAAGUCGGACUAAUGCCGUAUGUUGUCCAUUGACGGCAUCCGAUUUGGACGAAAGGCUUAGCGGUGAGGGAUGGGGAUGCGUCCGAUUAGCUUGACGGCGGGGUAACGGCCCACCGUGGCUACGAUCGGUAGGGGUUCUGAGAGGAAGGUCCCCCACACUGGAACUGAGACACGGUCCAGACUCCUACGGGAGGCAGCAGUGAGGAAUAUUGGUCAAUGGGCGUAAGCCUGAACCAGCCAAGUAGCGUGCAGGAUGACGGCCCUAUGGAUUGUAAACUGCUUUUAUGCGGGGAUAAAGGGACCCACGUGUGGGUUUUUGCAGGUACCGCAUGAAUAAGGACCGGCUAAUUCCGUG
rnacentral:rRNA from 1 species